CCUCAUCUCUGAUAUACAAAGUUGAGAUAGUUUGAAAUGUUCAAGGCAUAAUAUCUGGAAUUGGAAUGGUUUCAUGGGAUGCCAAAGUAGGAGGCUUGGAGCUGGCAAGUCAUAAGCCUGAGCUGAUGGGACCAUUCACAGAGAGGCUCUACCUGAUAGCAAAGCCACCAUGAAGGAAAGCAGAACCAACGCUGAGAGUGUGGAACCUAUUUCUGAUGGGCUAGGUGCCCCUCUGAAGCUUCCUAUGAUACUGACCCAUGUUUAUUUGGAUGGCAGUGGUCUCAGAGUUCUCAAGAGCAGCAAGAGAAGACAAGUUCCAGUGCUAAAGCAUUUUUCACAUACCUGCUUCUGCCACAUUUACUAUUUUUCCACUAGCCAAUGAGUCACAUGAAGGCAGGAACAAAUUGACGGGCAUAACUGCAACAACCUACCAUAAUUUCAUUAAAAGAAAAUGCUGACCAUGAUCCACUAAACUUAUCUGAUGACCUACAAAUGGAUCACUACCUGUGGACUAAAAGAUACUACUUUAUACUAGACCUUUUGCAAGCUAUUCACUAGGAAUUAUCUUUAUAUUACCAGAAUAUUGCACAAUGUCACAUGCAUAGUAGAUGCUCAGCACUUAUUUUAUGAAUGGACAUAAUAAAUUGGAGGUGCCACUAAAGAAAACUUGCCUU
rnacentral:lncRNA from 13 species